rnacentral:rRNA from 1 species
UACCAGCACCCCGAGUGGUCGGGACGUUUAUUGGGCCUAAAGCAUCCGUAGCCGGUUCUACAAGUCUUCCGUUAAAUCCAACUGCUUAACAGGUGGGCUGCGGAAGAUACUAUAGAGCUAGGAGGCGGGAGAGGCAAGCGGUACUCGAUGGGGUAGGGGUAAAAUCCGUUGAUCCAUUGAAGACCACCAGUGGCGAAGGCGGCUUGCCAGAACGCGCUCGACGGUGAGGGAUGAAAGCUGGGG